rnacentral:rRNA from 1 species
UACGUAGGGGGCUAGCGUUGUCCGGAAUCAUUGGGCGUAAAGCGCGUGUAGGCGGUCCGGUAAGUCCGCUGUGAAAGUCGGGGGCUCAACCCUCGGAUGCCGGUGGAUACUGUCGGGCUUGAGUACGGAAGAGGCGAGUGGAAUUCCUGGUGUAGCGGUGAAAUGCGCAGAUAUCAGGAGGAACACCAAUUGCGAAGGCAGCUCGCUGGGACGUUACUGACGCUGAGGAGCGAAAGCGUGGGGAGCGAACAGG